GAGAACACUUGUGGAGAACAAAAACAACCCAUUAAAACUGUUGUUGUGUUGGUUUUGGAGAAUAGAUCUUUUGAUCAUUUGCUUGGAUGGAUGAAGAAAUCAGUGAAUCCAAGAAUCAAUGGUGUUACUGGAAAAGAGUGUAAUCCAUUGUCUACUAAAGCUCAACAUACUCAAACAAUUUGCUUUACUGAUGAUGCACAGUAUGUGGAUCCAGACCCUGGUCACUCUUUUGAAGAUGUGGAACAACAGGUGUUUGGCUCUGGUUCUGGCUCUAUUCCAUCAAUGUCAGGUUUUGUGGAACAAGCACUCACUAUGUCUGAUAAGAAUCUAUCAAGAGCUGUGAUGAGGGGAUUUAAGCCGGAAAAUGUCCCAAUUUACGAGACAUUAGUUCGCGAAUUCGCGGUAUUUGACAGAUGGUUUUGUUCAAUUCCAGGCCCAACACAACCAAACAGGCUAUUUCUAUACUCUGCAACUUCUCAUGGUUCCACAAGCCAUGUGAAGAAGCAGUUGGCUACAGGGUAUCCACAGAAAACCAUAUUCGAUUCGUUACACGAGAACGGAUUAGAUUUUGGUAUUUACUAUCAAAACAUACCAUCAACUCUGUUUUACAGAAAUCUAAGGAUGUUGAAGUACAUGUUUAAGUUUCAUCAGUAUGAUUUGAAGUUCAAGAAAGAUGCUAAAAAUGGCAACUUGCCUAAUUUGACAGUGAUUGAGCCAAGGUAUUUCGGUAUAAUCGGAUAUCCAGCAAAUGAUGAUCAUCCAUCA
rnacentral:misc_RNA from 1 species